rfam:Prevotella sp. oral taxon 302 str. F0323 genomic scaffold supercont1.10, whole genome shotgun sequence.
GCCAGUUGCACUGCCGGGUAUCUAAGUCUGGAUGGGAUAAGCGCUGAAAGCAUCUAAGUGCGAAGCCCGCCACAAGAUUAGAUUUCCUCAAAAGGGUCGUCACAGACGAUGACGUAGAUAGGAUGCAGGUGUAAAGUCAGCAAUGGCAAAGCCGAGCAUUACUAAUAGCCCGAAACUUCUAGUCCU